UCCCACGUCACGAAAAGGCAAUGAAAAUAAAAAGGCCUCGUCAUGAUGAGCCCUAGCCAAGACGCCUAAAAAUAGUUUUCUCUUCUCUUCUUUGCCGUUUUCCUUCCUUCAACGCCUCAAACACCUAUAGCUUUUUAAUUUUUCUUGUUUAUAGACAUUCAUCUUUCAAGUUUUAUUAGUUUCUUGCUAUGAAUCCAUUUUUUUACACUAAAAAAUCCUCUCCCAAGUACAAUAACCAAUCUUCGACAAGAAUCGACGGCGGCCAACGAGAAGCACCAUGACGCAGAUGUUUCGACAAUACAAAAGCCCGAUGAUAUCUAAUCUUUUUUUAAUCUUUGAAUAUUGUUGCUAGAUUUAGAUAAUUAUAUUAGUGAACCAGGAUUUUUGAAUCAAUUAUAUUGUGUUUAUUGGUUGUUGAAAUCAUAUCGUGAAUUUGGUUAGCAUGUUGUCUCAAAAGCAAGUAACAUUCUGGAGGAUUGCGAAACAUGAUGUUCCCAAUUAUCUAAGGAGAUGAUUUGUCUUAAAUGAAACGACCAACGAUUUUUAUGAAAUUUUACUUGAAGGAGAAGUGGCUUAUGAUGAAAUUAUUAAUUUUUUAACUAGUGGUAGAGGUAGUUGGGUUCAAAAAUUUGUAACUAGGGAACUCCUAUGAUUUCAACAAUCAAUAAUGACUCUAGAGGCCAAAAUGUGGAUGUGUUUUAUCUAUGCCAAUUUUUUUCAUGCACAGCACAUCAUGGAAGUUACUCGUGAUCAUGCUAUUCUCUUGUAUGUUAUUUUGCAAUGUUAGAAGAUCAAUGUGGAGGACCAAAUUAUUUACAACAUUAGGCAAUGUGUCAGAAGGAACACAUGAAGGCUUUUAUACUCGUAUUUGAUUACGAAGAUGUGUAAAAGGAUUGGCUUGAGAUAGACCAAAAGGAACCAACUUUCCCACCGAAGAGAAUCUUAAACGAUUUUAUUUUUUUUAAUGGUUUUACUAUUAACACGCAAGUCAGGUGGAUGAGAGGAAUGAACAGGUGGUGGUACAUAGGUAAUACACUCGAGACUGCGGGCUCCCGGAACCAAUGGAGGAGCCACAACCUGUACCACCGAGGGUACACCGAAAGAAGGCAACCUCAAUAGUUCCGACGGGUGAUGACCUAAUCAUGCGAGCCCACCUUGAGUAUAUUACACUAGGUAGGGAAUUAUUUAAGCCGACCGUAACUCAUUAUGUUGAGAGGCAUGGCCUACAGCUACCAUUGUGGACUGCCCCAGAACCACCCCUAUUCCAAACCGCUCCCGUGGAUGAUGGUCCCUUGAUCCCACCACAAGGUGGUGGUGCACAAAAUGUACCAUCCAUUGCGAGACAAAAGGAGAAAAUGGGCAUGUCAAACGAAGACAAUCGUACCGAGAAGUUCGAUGAUGAAAACUUCACUGACUUUUGAAAGAUAACCUCACCUUAUGCAGCACUACAAUUUCAAGCCAAACCUGAAAAGGGAGAACGAUCCGACUAACCUCGCAACACAUUCAUGAAAAAUCGGGUAGUCUCUUCUCUUUAUUUAUUUUGGAGCACAUUAGGGACAAUGUGCCAAAUUAAGUGUAACGGUAACAUAGGAAAUUUUUUAAAAUUUUGUUAUUAUUUUUGCUUAGUUUUCAUAAUAUUAAAAAUAAUAAAAAAUUUCUUUGAUUGUGUGUUUUGUUUGUGCUUGAACCUGUAGAAAUACAAGUGAUUGGUUAGGAGUAUGUAAAUAGGUUUUUUUGUUUAAAUUGUAAAUUUAGCUUGAGAACAAACGAUUUUAGGUUGUUUACAUUUAGACUAGUUAGUUUAAUUUGUUAAACUGUGAAUAGGAAAAGUAGUUAAAUGCACCAAAUGAUAAGGUAUAUACAAGUAAGCAUAUAUGUUUUUGAAUUCUAGGUUAUUUAAAUUCAAAUACUCAGCUAUUGAAUCCAUGGUUAUUGAAAUGAUAUUGUAUAAUAAGUAUAAAAUCCUUAUAGGUAUGUGCCUAAAAAUAAAAAUUGUUGAAAAACCAAAAGCAUUGUGAGGGUUAGAAGCAAAAACGAGUGUAAUAAAAGUAUAAAAUGGUUAAAAGCCAAGAGAGUGAAAAGUGAACAUAGUGAAAUAAAUCUAAAAAUAUAAGUAAUUGAGAAAAUCUCACUCACAUUGGCACAAAUACUCGUGAAUUCCUUAUACUUGUAAAUAUUAUAUUAGAGUUCAAAGCAUGGAUAAAAGAAAUUGAGUAAUUAGAAUUCGAACUACUUGUAUUCUCCAACCGUAAAUGCUAUACUCGUGUAUACAUUUUGAUGGAGUCAUAUGUUUAACUUUAUUUGGCUUGCUUUCUUUGUAACAUAUUGAACUAGCAUGUUUGAGUGUGAAAAUUGUAAAUCGCUUAAACAUCUAUUUAGAAUUAUUGGUUGAGUACACAUCCAUAUUUUUUAACAUUCCAAACCAAUCUCCUGUGUGAAGCAUGCUCAAGUACUUUAUUAGUAUUGCGUGUUUUUCUUUUCUUUGUUUUUUUUUUUAUUUUUGUCUUGUUUGCUCGAAGACAAGCAACGAGUUAUGUGUGAGGGAGUUUGAUCUGCCAUAAUUUGUUCUGGAAAAUUAAAGUCUUUUCAGCACUUAAUGAGCUUGAUUUCAAGUCAUUUUAUGUCAUUUUGUUUUGUUUUUCGAUUUAGUAGCUUAGAAGUAAUUGUUAGCAAAAUAAGCAUUUUUACGCAUUUUAUAGUGCUUCGACAACCCAUUAGGCCAACUCAUGCCUCGAUAAUGACUAACGGGCUACUUGAGUGUGUAGGGUGUCAUUUCAGGUCAAAGAACACAAAGGACGACGCCAGUGUCACGACACCAACAUGUAUUGUCGCGACACCUAACAUCGAAGCAUCUAGAGCCAAAACACGGCUGAAGUCGUGAUGUCACAACAAAAACCUAGAUGUGCACAGUCGUCUAGGGCAUAUUUGUCCUGUUAAAACCUUAAUUAAUUCAAGGACAUUUUAGCCACUUAAAUCCCUCAAUUGUAGCCUAUAUGAACCUUAUUAUAACAUCAUUAGAGGGGAGUCGACCUAGGGAAUUGCCCUAGGGAGCCGUCAAACAAUCUUUCAUAUUUUUAUUUGUCAGUUUUCUUUAGUUCAUCUUUACAUUUUAUUUUAGUUUUUCUUAUGUCAGCUUAAUCGAAAUCUUUCUAUUCUGAUGUAAAGACGAUUGCGAGUGGAGAUUGUUCUGGAACCACACUUCAAUUUAA